UGGGGAAUUUUGGACAAUGGGCGCAAGCCUGAUCCAGCCAUGCCGCGUGCGGGAAGAAGGCCUUCGGUUGUAACCGCUUUUGUCAGGGAAGAAUCUUCUGAGUUAAUACCUCGGGAGGAUGACGGUACCUGAAGAAUAAGCACCGGCUAACUACGUGCCAGCAGCCGCGGUAAUACGUAGGGUGCAAGCGUUAAUCGGAAUACUGGGCGUAAAGCGUGCGCAGGCGGUUUUGUAAGACAGAGGUGAAAUCCCCGGGCUCAACCUGGGAACUGCCUUUGUGACUGCAAGGCUUGAGUGCGGGCAGAGGGGGGAUGGAAUUCCGCGUGUAGCAGUGAAAUGCGUAGAUAUGCGGAGGAACACCGAUGGCGAAGGCAAUCCCCUGGGCCUGCACUGAUGCUCAUGCACGAAAAGCGU
rnacentral:rRNA from 1 species